UACGAAGGGGGCUAGCGUUGUUCGGAUUUACUGGGCGUAAAGGGCGCGUAGGCGGCCUGCUAAGUCGGAUGUGAAAUCCCUCGGCUCAACCGAGGAACUGCAUCCGAUACUGGCGGGCUUGAAUCCGGGAGAGGGAUGUGGAAUUCCAGGUGUAGCGGUGAAAUGCGUAGAUAUCUGGAGGAACACCGGUGGCGAAGGCGGCAUCCUGGACCGGUAUUGACGCUGAGGCGCGAAAGCUAGGGGAGCAAACGGG
rnacentral:rRNA from 1 species